rnacentral:rRNA from 1 species
GGCCGCGGGAAUUCGAUUUUGGAGGGCAAGUCUGGUGCCAGCAGCCGCGGUAAUUCCAGCUCCAAUAGCGUAUAUUAAAGUUGUUGCAGUUAAAAAGCUUGUAGUUGAAUUUCAGGAUUAGUAUGUUGGUCAUGCCUCUGGUAUGUACUGAUCUCACUGAUUCCUCCCUCUUGACAAACUGUAAUGUCGUUAAUUUGGUGUUGCAGGAAAUCAGGACUGUUACUUUGAAAAAAUUAGAGUAUUUAAAGCAGGCUAAGGCUUGAAUACAUUAGCAUGGAAUAAUGAAAUAGGACGUUUGAACCUAUUUUGUUGGUUUCUAGGAUCACCGUAAUGAUUAAUAGGGAUAGUUGGGGGCAUUAGUAUUCAAUUGUCAGAGGUGAAAUUCUUGGAUUUAUUGAAGACUAACUUCUGCGAAAGCAUUUGCCAAGGAUGUUUUCAUUAAUCAAGAACGAAAGUUAGGGGAUCGAAGACGAUCAGAUACCGUCGUANUCUUAACCAUAAACUAUGCCGACUAGGGAUCGGAUGAUGUUAAUUUUUUAAUGACUCAUUCGGCGCCUUACGGGAAACAAUCACUA